GACGUUUGCGAACGGUCGAAAAAGGUUUGCCGUAAGAAGUCAGCUGAGGCCAUAGUAGCUACUGCUUCAUGUAGUGAAGGGC
rfam:Tetragenococcus halophilus NBRC 12172 DNA, complete genome.